GCAUUGGUGGCUCAGUGGUAGAAUUCUUGCCUUCCAUGUGAGUGACCUGGGUUCAAUUCUUGGACAGUGCA
rnacentral:tRNA from 1 species